UUGGGUGCUAAGAAAAAUCUGUUCUCCAAUUCAGGGUUGUAAGAAACCCUCCGCAGCAAAAGCAUUGUUGACUUCUAAUGAAGCAGAGAGACAUAUCUAGCUUUGAAAUAGAGGUUGCCAAAUGGUAUUCCCAGUGACACAUGGGAGACUGGAGGAAAGGGUCCCCACAGAAAUUCAUCAGUGUGGGGAGAGCUGGUUAGUAGGUAGGCCAUAGAAUUUUCCAGUGACAUCACCAGUAAGCCGUUCACUGGACACUCUAUUGUAUCUAAGAGAUCCCUAGAAUCUUCUGUGAUGUCACCAGUGUUGUGGUGACACCAACUGCCUUUGGGAUAUUACUUCAGUUCCCUUUGGGUUCACAAGCAGGCAUGUUUCGCCAGCUGCUCAGGCUAUUUCGGAAGGAAAGUGUUGAUCAAGGAGAGACCACACCAGGUCAGAGGGAAGCUGACCCCGUCUCUAGUGAAACAGGAAGGAGGAAAUCAUUCUUGGGAAGGCUUGGUUUUGGUAGGAAGGCAUCAUCCCAAAAUGUCAUCAGUCAGCAAGAGGAGUGUCUAAAGGAACUGGAGGAACUCAAAUUUGAAAUCCAGAAGUGUCAAUUCGAGAGGGAUGAACUUUAUCAAAUCCUGGAUCUUUAUAUCUAUGAUGAGUGGGACCACAGGUAGUCAUUAUGCCCAGUAACCUGUUCACUGUCUUGUGCUCUCUCUCUGCUACCUCAAGAUUUACUCAUAGCACGAGAGAGUUUCACCUCUCAUCCUGGAUUUGAAGGAGAUUUGGCAGGCAUUUGCUUGUGAGAUGAGCUAGGUGCUGUGUGUUUAGGGUCAACCUCUUUUGUACUUGACCCUGAGCCUCUUGGAUUAGCAUUGGUUCUGUCAACAGCUAGAAUGACCUUGUCACACUUGCUGCAACUGUGUGUGUGAAUGAAAUGCCUGCACGUCAUCACUCUUUCCUCUGAAUUUGUUCAUUAUACACUGAUUCUAUGGCACCUCCAUGGAUGUAGUUGGCAAUUCUAAAUGUGUUUGGAUAUGGGUUGGUGUGUAUAUAUGUGGCAGUAUUUGUUGGUGGUUUACUCUGGAUCAGGACGUCUGGGACCUUUGAUUGGGUCUGAGGAUUUGUUUGAUCAACAGUUUGCAGGUCAUGAUAGUGAUGAGUACAUGGAGGCCCACACUGAUCAACACAGCACUUUGCUCCUUCUGUAUACCUUGGUGGCACACAGGACUCUCCA
rnacentral:sRNA from 1 species